rnacentral:rRNA from 1 species
UACGUAGGCAGCAAGCGUUGUUCGGAGUUACUGGGCGUAAAGGGUGUGUAGGCGGUUAUUUAAGUUUGGUGUGAAAUCUCCCGGCUCAACCGGGAGGGUGCGCCGAAUACUGAAUGACUUGGAGUGCGGGAGAGGAAAGUGGAAUUCCUGGUGUAGCGGUGAAAUGCGUAGAUAUCGGGAGGAACACCCGUGGCGAAGGCGGCUUUCUGGACCACUACUGACGCUGAGGCACGAAAGCCGGGGGAGCAAACAGG